AAUCAGUUUAAAUUGACACUCGAGGUCAAAUUAAUUGAGAUUUUAUUUUGUUCAUAUUUUCACAUUACAUUCAUGUACAUAUGUGUAGGUUGUAUCGUAUUAUUAUCUCCCUUCAGUUGCAUCUAGAAACAAAUCAGUAUUUAAAUUAAAAACAUAAUAAGAGGGUAGAAAAAUCAAUGUAACGUAAAACAUAUUUAGAAGCUUGUUCGGUCAAGAAAUCAACAUAUAUGAGUAAAUGUCUUCGGUAUUAGUGGCAUGACUCGCCUUUUAAUUAUUGCCCACUGAUAUUAAAGUGGAUUGAAAUCUAGACUCUGGGCGGGCGAAUUCAGCAGCGGAAUUCUCUGGUUUUGAAGACACUGAAUCACAGACCUUGACUUGUGGCAGGGCGCAUUAUACUAUUGGAAAACUGCGGUGGUGUACACAGAUAACGAAUCUAACUUGCCCGUUAUCUGCACAAUAGGACCUGCUUCGUAAAGCAACCCCACAUCAUAGCACUUCCCCUCAUCGAACUUAAGUUAUUUGGGGGGCGUGGUACAUAAGUUCUCCCAUCAGGCGCGGGAAUGUAGAUUCGUCGCUGCAAACUACAGGAUUUCAGAAGAAACGAGGAGAAUCCGUAUGCAAUCUGACAAAUUCCAAUCGUACCUUUCGAUUAUUGUGUGAAAUUUUGGCUUUUUCAAACUUUGGCAUCCCCGAAGGUUAUUUUCCAAAAGUCGCUGUCGGAAUCUUCUCUUUUUCUGGUCAUUUUGCGUCUAGAUCUCUUUUUAUUUGCAAAUCCUCCUCCACGAACUUCUAAUGCAACGAGCAAUUUCACUAUUAUUUUUCCCGUCCUGGAACAUGUUCCAUAUUAGACGCCUUUGCCUCUUCACUGGAGCUCUUGCAACGUCCCAUGUUAUUGAUGUCUAUUCAAAAUUUGACUUACAGCUAAUAUCGGAGAAAAAUUACAACCCUAAACGCAAACGAAUUACGAAAAACUUUUCUGAUGUCAGGAUGUGCUAAUUUAAAUGCCAGUUUGAAACGGACCUUUUAAUUUUCUACAAUCCGUGAUUUGUAUUAGCAAAAAAAAAAACAAAUUAUUAAUAUAACAAAUAAAAAAAAUUCCUAAUUUACAG